ACUAUCCUGAGGGAGAUCGGUAUACUGAAAGAGGGGUUCCAUGAUCCCUCCUCUUUCGAUCCGUUACUGAUAGUUCAUUUUCAAAGAUUAUGCAAAAAAAAAACCCAUAAAAUAUGCGAUUUUAUAUUUAUAUUCUAACGAGGUAUUAUUCGUCCCAGUACGAAAUCUUAGUCUUAGUUGUGAAUAGAAUGAAUAAUUCUGGUUAAUAUCGUAAAAACCCUUUCCUUCCUCUCCUUGACAGGUUUAUGGAGUUUUUCCCAAGCACGACCAUAUAUUAAUCAAGGAAGGCAAUCUAUAGCUACCCUUGAUAUUAAUAUAUAAAAUCCCUUGCGGUAUACUCAGAAACGUCUCUUUUACGUUAUUCAAUGGCCACUGGAAGCUUAGAGAUACGGUCGAUCCUGAUCUUAAUCCGUCUUGAGAUAUGAUGAUGAAAAAGCUGAAAAAGGGAUAAGUCAAAUGGAUUCUGAUCGUUGCCAGUCUCAUCCUAUUUAAUUUAAACAUUUCAUGCCAAAAAGUUAUUAACAACCACUAAAGUAUUAUAAAUACUCACAGUAUAUCAUAUGUUAAAAAGUGUUACAACUUCUUGAGUAAAAGACUAAGAACAUUUAAAAUUAAAUCCUCCCUGUAG
rnacentral:lncRNA from 1 species